UACACUCCUACGGGAGGCAGCAGUGGGGAAUUUUGGCCAAUGGGCGAAAGCCUGAUCCAGCAAUGCCGCGUGAGUGAAGAAGGCCUUCGGGUUGUAAAGCUCUUUUGUCAGGGAAGAAACGGUGAGAGCUAAUAUCUUUUGCUAAUGACGGUACCUGAAGAAUAAGCACCGGCUAACUACGUGCCAGCAGCCGCGGUAAUACGUAGGGUGCAAGCGUUAAUCGGAAUUACUGGGCGUAAAGCGUGCGCAGGCGGUUUUGUAAGUCUGAUGUGAAAUCCCCGGGCUCAACCUGGGAAUUGCAUUGGAGACUGCAAGGCUAGAAUCUGGCAGAGGGGGGUAGAAUUCCACGUGUAGCAGUGAAAUGCGUAGAUAUGUGGAGGAACACCGAUGGCGAAGGCAGCCCCCUGGGUCAAGAUUGACGCUCAUGCACGAAAGCGUGGGGAGCAAACAGGAUUAGAAACCCUUGUAGUCCCAUG
rnacentral:rRNA from 1 species